UUUGUCACAAUCUGUCUAACACAAUGCAAAAAUCUAUUUCUACUUCGGGAGAUUUCGUAAGCAUAGGGGUAUUGAAUUAUUAGCACAAGAAAAUACCAGUGGCAAUACGAGCACAAACAGGCGCUCGAAAUCCUAGACCUACACAGCUUAAAAGGGUGCACAAAUAGCGAUUCAUAGGUUUUAACAAUCUUUAAAGAGGAUGGACCGCAAAGUUAUUCUAAUCCUGAUGCUAAUUGUCGUCUUGCACUGUGCGAAUAUAAACGCUUGGACGAGAAGGCGGCGUCGUUGGGUGUGGUACGAUAAUAAAAUAAACAGCUUUGAUCAGAACGAGAUUUUACCCGACGAAAGUGACCACGAGAAUAAAAUGAAAACUCUCAUUAUGGAGCAGUUAGCCGAAGACAUGUAAUACAUUUUGACGUACAUGCUAAAUAAAACAAAGCAUAAAACUG